rnacentral:lncRNA from 1 species
UAGAGUAUUUCCUCAUAUAAUAUUUUUAGCCUUCUUGCAUCAAAUUGUAAUCAUAUUUUCACAUUAUUUACUCGAAAGAUAUUCAAAUACUCAUAUUAUGUCACAUUUACAACACUACUCCAUCUUUUGCAGAAAAGGGUGAUAAGGCCCAAAUCCUUCUAUAUUGGAGUGUCUAAGACGUUGCGGUUGCUGCAUUUUGCAGAGGGACUCGAGUGUGAAGAAGAAUUAACCUACAUGGGCUAGCUGAAGAAGAAGGGGACCAACUUGGGAAGAAAGAAGAAAACAAGGAGGGCUAAACAAGGAGAAUGCAGAUCUGAUCGAGAGGGGUAAAAUCCCCAGCCAUCUUCUUCGAUCCCCUUAGGCCUGGCAUCUCUAUCUCCCUCACCCUACUUCUCCACCUCCGGCCGCCGCCACGGCCAGGCCGGCGUGGUUGUCUGCCUCCCACCUCAUCACCAUCUCCAUCCACCACUCCCCGAAGCCAUCCAUCUCCACCGUCCGCGCCAAGCACCACCAGCACCACUCCAUCUCCACCGCGCCUUCACCAUCACCUCGCGCGCCCUACCAGACGCGGUGGUCUAGUGCCUCGCGCGACCUCUCCCUCCAGCCGGCGCGCCUCUCCCUGCUGUUUCCCCAACUUCUUCUUCCCUUUGCUGCUCCUCCACCUCUCCUCGUCCCCCAAACUGCUUGCUGCUUCUCCUUCUAUGAACCCUUGCUGCUGCUGCCGCUUCUUCUUGCGCCCUCCGUUGCUGCUGCUCUCUUCUCCCACGUCUUUGCUGCUGCUCCUCUUCUUGCGUCCCUGCUGAUUCCUCUCCUUCCCCUUGCUGCUGCUCCUCCUUCUCUCCAAAACUGCUGCUGCUCCCUCUCCCAUGAACCUGCUGCUACUCUUCUCUCCUUGCUGCUCCUAGUUCUUCUCUGAACUAAAACUGCUGCUGCUUCUCUCCUCUCUUACUUCUUGCAAAUUUCUGAAAACUGCUAGGUGAACCUUGUGUAAUAUUCAGAUUUGUGCCUUGAGAUGCUUAUGUAAUAUUCAGAUUUGAAGUGUACUUGCAAUCUGCUGUUUGCUCUGUUUAAGUACUUGUAUAAUAUAGUGUAUGUGUUUUGAGAUCUGACUAGUUGAGGCUUUGUUACUUUGAGAGAUACUUGAUCUAUCAUAUUUUGGUUUUGUCAAUUGGUAUUCUGCUAGUAUGUGUGUGUGUGUGUGUGUGUGUAAUUCAUCAAAACAAAUUGUUGUGUGCUGAUGAUUAAUGUCCAGUUUACUGUUCCUGCGAUAUAUACAUAUGUGUGUUUGUGAUGUGAUACAUAUAUACCUGUGAUUUUAUUUUGUAGUGAGACUGCUCUUUGUGAAGUCAGAGGUGUGAUUGUUUUUAAUCUCAAGUUCAAUGUGCUAGCUAUGCACCAGUGACAUAUGUGACAUGUAUAUGUGAUGUGAAACAAUUGUAUGCUGUCCCUAAUCUUGUUCCUUCCGCGUGUCUUAUACUUGCUAGUUUUAUAUACAUAUAUGUGUUCUUGUCUUGUUAGUUCCCUUUGUUGAAGUUGUCCCCCUGUAGUUUUUAUUUCUCAAGUUCUAGGAAAACACCAAAAAGAUAGUAAGUAAUCUGAACCUCCCUUUGCUAUUUUGCAUUUUCUUUGUGGAUUAUCUUCGGGAACAAUCAUUGUUAGUUUAGAUUCUUAUUUUCUGCAUUUAUCUCUUAAAAUUUUGCUUCCUAGCUUUAGCCGAGCAUAGUCGUCGUCGCCUAGUCCCUGUGGAGAACACGACAUCCGUAGUUUGGGGCGUAAAACCCCCGCUAUACUUUCAAUUGAUCAUUUUGGCGCCGUUGCCGGGGACUAGCGUCGAGCGUUUGUGUGAGGCUUUAGACUAGGUUUAGCUUGUUUCCUUUUUGUGCUUUAUAUAUUUGUGAUAUAUCUCUAGCCACUAACCCCUGUUCUAGUUAGUAUCUUUUUGUCUUCUUUUCCUUUUUGCAGGUUGGAUUAUCCUCUCGGUUAUGGCUUACUAUUCAGAUCAUCAGGCUUAUGCGAGCAACACUACAAACAACACGAAAAGUGUUCAAGAACUGAUAGGUAAGAUUUCCCAUCGAUUAGAUGAUUUAGCUCGGCAGCGAGAAGGAGUUUUUGAGGAUAGGCCUAGCUCUUAUGAUCCUUAUUCUAGAGGCUAUCCUUAUGUUGCUCCUACCUGCCAUAUUUGUGGAUUUUAGGGCCAUUCGCCCGCUGAAUGUCAGCGUGGUUACUCCCAUCCUCCGGAUUGUUUUGGCAUGAGCUUCGCUCAACAGCAUAGCUCAUACCAAAACAAUUACACACAUGGGUGGCCUGAAAACCAGAAUAUGUCAUAUAGGAGCAAUAACCCUGAGAUCUCAUCGUUUGCUUCUAGUAAUCAUAUGCAGGGAUUUAGGUACAAUGAGGAGAGCCACAACUAUGCACCACAACAAUUCCAUUCAGCUCCUACUCAUAUACCACAACACCAGGAGAUGUGUCCAAUGGAGUUAAAUGGUCCUCCAUUUGGUCAACCAACAACUCCAGCACCUGUUGUGCAAUCUCAUGUGCAAGUGCCCACACAAGAUGAGUUAGAUGACAUAGACAAGCUCACACUUUUGAGUCUCGAGUUCACUUGGAGUGCCGAGGAUGAUCCUAUUAGGAAGGUUAUACUAGAGGAAAUGAAGAAGAUUAAGAGUGGAAAGGAGCUAGUCGAAGAAGUAAGGAAGAUUGAGAAGAACAUCAACGCUGGCAGCACUAUUUCUUCACAACUUGAGUUGAGUGUGGCUGAGAUAUCCAUGGAUACAUGUGAGGUUCCAACACCUUCACAUUUCGUUGAGCAAGAUAGCAAGUGCCUUGAGCAAGAGAUACCUCAGAUUGUAGAAGAUGAACUAGAAGACAAGGAACAAGAUGGUCAAGAGCUGCAAUUCCCAAGUGAUCAAGUUGAAGACUCAUCAUCUAUUACUCCUGAUGAAGUACAAGAAGCUGCUGUAGAUGAAGAUGAAGAACAUGAGAUUCAUUGGCCUAUUAUCAUACAUGAGCAUGAUGUGUCAGGUUUACUCAAUCCUCUUGAUGACAUGAUGCCUUGUGAUUUCUUUGCUACUACCUUGCAUUACAUGAUACCAUCACUUAAGAUUGAUUUGAAAAAUCAUUUGCUUGGAUAUGAUGAUAUAUACCCUGUUAGUGGCAUUACUCUCAUUUGUGAUGAUCAUAGUUACUUUCCUCGUGCUAGUCCUAUGCUAAAUGAAACAUAUCAUUCCCAUGCUAGUCUUGAGCUUAAUGAUAAAUAUCAUCCUCAUGUUAGUGUUGACCUUGCUGAUUUCUACCAUCCUAAACAUGUGCUUUAUAGCUAUGCUUAUGUAAUUGGAUAUUCGAUUGAUGACUUGGAGGGUAUUAUCCCUACCACUUGCAUUGUCUCUUUGGUUGAGUGCUCUUUCAGGUUGUUGCUUGUGCACGAUCCACUACAUGCUGACCAGGUUCGAGGUGACAUUCCUUGGGAUCCUGGUGGAGUCAGAGCAUGGCGAUGAGGAGAAGCAAUGGGGCACACAUAUGGAAGAGUGAAGCUGGAGCAUCCAUGAGGAAUCAAGGGAGAAGAGCUGCAGCUGGUGAGGUGAUCGAGCGAGUGCUACAUGAUCAAAGCCCGGUGAGCUGUUUCAUGACCCAUUCCUAGUAUAUCAUCCAUUGAUACAUGCUGAAAUCAAAUGUUAUUUGGGUUGCUUAAGCCAUGUCUUAAAUGUUGCCCUACUGAAUUUUACUUGACAUAUGGUGCUUGAUGAGAAUAUGUGAACUGAGUGUUGAAUGCCUGGUAAACUAGUGAUCUAUACAAUGCUUGCUUUGCUGAAAGUAGUGGAAGUUAUUAGUUUUGAGUGCUCAAAUCCCUAGUAUACUAGAAAACUUAAUCAUUUUCUGCUUUUAACUCGAUACACCUAGAUCACCACGUUUAGAUGCUGAAUUUGUGCUAAGUGUGUUCCCAUUGAGAGCAAUCACCUAACAACUAUGGAUUAGCAUGCUAUGUUCCCUGGAUCGGUAGCAUGUGAACCAGACAUGGAGAAGUGAUGAUUCCUAUUUCUGUGCUUAUGUGUUGUUCAUUUAAGAUAAGUAAUAAUGAAUAAAUAAGUCUGACUACCUACAGUAGCAUGUCAUGUUCCCGGGAUCGGUGGCAUGUGAAAUCGGGUUAGCUUGGGCAGUAAUUAAUAAUAAAAAAAUGUAAUUGUCGAACCAGGUGUAUACCAUGUUCUCGGGAUCGGUGGUAUGUUCCUUUGGGGAGACAAACAAAAAAAACUAAUAAUUGGUCGAGCCAGGUGUAUACUAUGUUCUCGGGAUUGGUGGUAUGUUCCUAUGGUGAGACUAAUAAUAAUAUAAUCAUUGCUUUAUCUCUGUAAAUAAGUGAUUUGAUCACAAGAUUUAAUUCCAGUUCAUUUUGUUCUUGGGAUCAUGCUCUCUUUAGGAACCUUUGGCACAAUCAUCAUUUGAACUUGUUGAUCCCACUUUUAUCAUUGUAAAAGUUUAAAAUGAUUGAGUCUACUAGUAUCCUACUGCUUUGAAGCACUCCUGACCAUUGAUUUUCACUAGCAAAGUUCAAAGCAUGCUUUGUUUGGAGAUCUACUUCACUUGGCAUUCUCUAGUCAGCUCACUGUUCACAAUCUUGCUCUUGUCAUAUUUCUUUGCUUGAGGACAAGCAAAGAUUUAAGUGUGGGGGAACUUGAUAGAGUAUUUCCUCAUAUAAUAUUUUUAGCCUUCUUGCAUCAAAUUGUAAUCAUAUUUUCACAUUAUUUACUCGAAAGAUAUUCAAAUACUCAUAUUAUGUCACAUUUACAACACUACUCCAUCUUUUGCAGAAAAGGGCGAUAAGGCCCAAAUCCUUCUAUAUUGGAGUGUCUAAGAGGUUGCGGUUGCUGCAUUUUGCAGAGGGACUCGAGUGUGAAGAAGAAUUAACCUACAGGGGCUAGCUGAAGAAGAAGGGGACCAACUUGGGAAGAAAGAAGAAAACAAGGAGGGCUAAACAAGGAGAAUGCAGAUCUGAUCGAGAGGGGUAAAAUCCCCAGCCAUCUUCUUCAAUCCCCUUAGGCCUGGCAUCUCUAUCUCCCUCACCCUACUUCUCCACCUCCGGCCGCCGCCACGGCCAGGCCGGCGUGGUGGUGCGCCUCCCACCUCAUCACCAUCUCCAUCCACCACUCCCCGAAGCCAUCCAUCUCCACCGUCCGCGCCAAGCACCACCAGCACCACUCCAUCUCCACCGCGCCUUCACCAUCACCUCGCGCGCCCUACCAGACGCGGUGGUCUGGUGCCUCGCGCGACCUCUCCCUCCAGCCGGCGUGCCUCUCCCUGCUGUUUCCCAACUUCUUCUUCCCUUUGCUGCUCCUCCACCUCUCCUCGUCCCCCAAACUGCUUGCUGCUUCUCCUUCUAUGAACCCUUUCUGCUGCUGCCGCUUCUUCUUGCGCCCUCCACUGUUACUGCUCUCUUCUCCCACGUCUUUGCUGCUGCUCCUCUUCUUGCGUCCCUGCUGAUUCCUCUCCUUCCCCUCGCUGCUGCUCCUCCUUCUCUUCAAAACUGCUGCUGCUCCCUCUCCCACGAACCUGCUGCUGCUCUUCUCUCCUUGCUGCUCCUAGUUCUUCUCUGAACUAAAACUGCUGCUGCUUCUCUCCUCUCUUACUUCUUGCAAAUUUCUGAAAACUGCUAGGUGAACCUUGUGUAAUAUUCACAUUUGUGCCUUGAGAUGCUUAUGUAAUAUUCAGAUUUGAAGUGUACUUGCAAUCUGCUGUUUGCUCUGUUUAAGUACUUGUAUAAUAUAGUGUAUGUGUUUUGAGAUCUGACUAGUUGAGGCUUUGUUACUUUGAGAGAUACUUGAUCUAUCAUAUUUUGGUUUUGUCAAUUGGUAUUCUGCUAGUAUGUGUGUGUGUGUGUGUAAUACAUCAAAAAUAUUGUUGUGUGCUGAUGAUUAAUGUCCAGUUUACUGUUCCUGCGAUAUAUACAUAUGUGUGUUUGUGAUGUGAUACAUAUAUACCUGUGAUUUUAUUUUGUAGUGAGACUGCUCUUUGUGAAGUCAGAGGUGUGAUUGUUUUUAAUCUCAAGUUCAAUGUGCUAGCUAUGCACCAGUGACAUAUGUGACAUGUAUAUGUGAUGUGAAACAAUUGUAUGCUAUCCCUAAUCUUGUUCCUUCCGCAUGUCUUAUACUUGCUAGUUUUAUAUACAUAUAUGUGUUCUUGUCUUGUUAGUUCCCUUUGUUGAAGUUGUCCCCCUGUAGUUUUUAUUUCUCAAGUUCUAGGAAAACACCAAAAAGAUAGUAAGUAAUAUCUGAACCUCCCUUUGCUAUUUUGCAUUUUCUUUGUGGAUUAUCUUCGGGAACAAUCAUUGUUAGUUUAGAUUCUUAUUUUCUG